GCACAUGCGCAGUAAUUAGGCCAAACACAGACUUGACACCAUCUGCGGUCAUAGUCCCAAGUCCCUAGUUUUGACCACAGGGCUGUUUCCAUUCUGAUAGGCUCUGCGGGUUCCACAACUAUCUUGCCUCCAGCUCUGCAUCUCGGGACACCCAAAUUGGAAGAGGACUUACUGGUCCUUUCAAGGGGAGACAGAGGCUUUCAAGGAUGCUGUGCUAAGAAGUGUCCCAGCAUUCAACCUAAGUGGCGGCUGAGCCCCAGGCUCUGCUCAGAAACACCAACCCACAGCUUUUGCAGGCCUGCAGAGACAAGACACCUCACCACGCCCUCAAAGAGCCAGAGGGAUGUUGGACACUGUGAAACCGUAGAGGCGAGUCACCCCUGGGAACACAUAGGCCAGGAUACGCCGGUCAAGCUGGAACGCGAUCUCCCCAACGAUUCGGCCAUCCUUCUCAGCACCCGAAAAACUCUGGAUCUCUGGAUUCUAUUUUGCCACCCCACCAACUCAGCCUUCUUUGAGGACAGCAGGGGACAUCACAGCUUGGGUCUGGAAAGAGCCAGCCUCUUCCAGUCUACAGCAUCGCCACCAAAGACGGGCCAAUGUCUGCAAGGAGUAACCAACCACUUUCUGACUGGACUUGAGAUGGGCUCC
rnacentral:lncRNA from 1 species